rnacentral:rRNA from 1 species
GACGAACCGUGCGAACGUUGUUCGGAAUCACUGGGCAUAAAGGGCGCGUAGGCGGACCCUCAAGUCAGGGGUGAAAUCCUCCAGCUUAACUGGGGAACUGCCUUUGAUACUGAUGGUCUCGAGUAAGGUAGGGGCAUGCGGAACUGAUGGUGGAGCGGUGAAAUGUGUUGAUAUCAUCAUGAACUCCGGUGGCGAAAGCGGCAUGCUGGACCUUCACUGACGCUGAGGCGCGAAAGCCAGGGGAGCAAACGGG